CCCAAAAAUCCCGCUGGGAUCCCACAGAAUUCCCAAAAAUCCCACCCAAAUCCCACCCAAAUCCCACAGAAUUCCCACAAAAUCCCACCCAAAUCCCACAGAAUUCCCACAAAAUCCCACCCAAAUCCCACAGAAUUCCCAAAAAUUCCCAAAAAUCCCGCUGGGAUCCCAAAGAAUUCCCAAAAAUUCCCAAAAAUCCCACCCAAAUCCCAAAAAAUCCCACCCAAAUCCCAAAAAAUUCCCAAAAAUCCCGCUGGGAUCCCAAAAAAUUCCCAAAAAUUCCCAAAAAUCCCACUGGGAUCCCACAGAAUUCCCAAAAAUUCCCAAAAAUCCCACUGGGAUCCCAAAAAAUCCCACCCAAAUCCCAAAAAAUUCCCAAAAAUCCCACUGGGAUCCCAAAAAAUUCCCCAAAAUUCCCAAAAAUCCCACUGGGAUCCCACGGAAUUCCCAAAAAUCCCACUGGGAUCCCAUGGAAUUCCCAAAAAAUUCCCAAAAAUCCCGCUGGGAUCCCAAAAAAUUCCCAAAAAUUCCCAAAAAUCCCACUGGGAUCCCAAAAAAUUCCCAAAAAUCAAAAAAAAUUCCCAAAAAUACCACUGGGAUCCCAAAGAAUUCCCAAAAAUCCCACUGGGAUCCCAAAGAAUUCCCAAAAAUCCCAAAAAAUUCCCAAAAAUCCCACUGGGAUCCCGCAGAAUUCCCAAAAAUUCCCAAAAAUCCCACCCAAAUCCCACGGAAUUCCCAAAAAUCCCACCCAGAUCCCAAAAAAUUCCCAAAAAUUCCCUGGAAUCCCAAAAAAUUCCCAAAAAUUCCCAAAAAAUCCCACUGGGAUCCCGCAGAAUUCCCAAAAAUCCCACUGGGAUCCCAAAAAAUUCCCAAAAAUCCCACCCAAAUCCCAAAAAAUUCCCACGGAAUUCCCCAAAAUCCAAUCCAAAUCACAAAAAAAUCCCAAAAAUCCCACCCAAAUCCCACAGAAUUCCCAAAAAUCCCCCUGGGAUCCCAAAAAAUUCCCCAAAAUCCCCCUGGGAUCCCAAAAAAUUCCCAAAAAUCCCACUCGAAUCCCGCCCAAAUCCCCCCGGAAUUCCCAAAAUUCCCCCAAAAUCCUUCCCCAAAACGCUGAUUUUUGUGGGAAUUUUGGGAUUUUUUGUGGGAAUCCAGGGAUUUUUUUGGGAAUUUUUGCAGGAAUUUUGGGGGGAAUUUUUUAGUGAGAACUUUGGGAUUUUUUUGGGAAUUUUUUUGGGAAUUUUUGCCGGAAUUUUACGAUUUUUAUGGGACUUUUUUGGGAAUUUCUGGAUUUUUUAUGGGGUUUUUUUUGGAAUUUCGGGAUUUUUUGGGGAUUUUUUUGGGAAUUCCGGGAUUUUCCCUCCCAGGGAUUUUUGGGGUGAAUCCCUGAGGUUUUGGGGUCUCACCUGGGGACACCAAAGGUCGAUUUUGGGGGCGGAUUUGGGAUUUUUUGUGGGAAUUUUGCCAUUUUUUUGCGAUUUUUGGGGGAUUUUUUUGGGAUUUUUUUGGGAAUUCCGGUGAUUUCCCCCCCAGGGAUUUUUGGGGUGAAUCCCCGAGGUUUUGGGGUCUCACCUGGGGGCGCCAGGACGUAGAAGUAGGGGGUGAAGCCGUGCAGGUGCACGCAGACGCUCAGCCCCUCCCCCGUCACCCCGAACAUCCGCAGG
ensembl:lncRNA